UGCGUAGGCGGCGCCUUAAGUCAGAUGUGAAAUAUCCACGCUUAACGUGGAGGGUGCAUUUGAAACUGGGGCGCUUGAGUGCAGGAGAGGAAAGUGGAAUUCCUAGUGUAGCGGUGAAAUGCGUAGAUAUUAGGAGGAACACCAGUGGCGAAGGCGACUUUCUGGACUGUAACUGACGCUGAGGCACGAAAGCGUGGGGAGCAAACA
rnacentral:rRNA from 1 species